rnacentral:rRNA from 1 species
AUUGAACGCUGGCGGCAUGCUUUACACAUGCAAGUCGAACGGCAGCACGGGAGCUUGCUCCUGGUGGCGAGUGGCGAACGGGUGAGUAAUGCAUCGGAACGUACCCAGUAGUGGGGGAUAGCCCGGCGAAAGCCGGAUUAAUACCGCAUAUUUCCUGAGGGAGAAAGCGGGGGACCUUCGGGCCUCGCGCUACUGGAGCGGCUGAUGUCGGAUUAGCUAGUUGGUGAGGUAAAGGCUCACCAAGGCGACGAUCCGUAGCUGGUCUGAGAGGAUGAUCAGCCACACUGGGACUGAGACACGGCCCAGACUCCUACGGGAGGCAGCAGUGGGGAAUUUGGACAAUGGGGGCAACCCUGAUCCAGCCAUGCCGCGUGAGUGAAGAAGGCCU